rnacentral:lncRNA from 1 species
CAGGACCAGACAUGAGCAGAUAUUACUGGAUCUUGGACAAGUGGGUCUCUAAGGAACAUCAAAGACCCUGAGAAGCCAAAAGUUAUGAAAUGCAUCAGCAGUGGGUUGAAGACAAGACCUCUCCUUUUCCUGCUGACAUUUCUUCCAUGAGCAGUACCCAGACAGCCGACAGAAAGAGCCCAGGAGUAACCUGCCUCAAGCACACAAAUAUUUGUGUGUCUGGCCUCAAGCAAUUAACGUGUCUCCUAACAUGAGAUAAAGAUUAAAUGAAAAUUCUGUCACCCUGAAAUAAACCUGGAAGCAGAAUUCCUGAAUGUUUGCCAAAUAAGGUGACUAUCAGACUUAAGAUGCUGAACUUUGAAAUGACUGUCAUAGAAACAAAGGCAAGGCAUGGUUGGCGCCCAUUCAACCUGGUCAAUAACAUCCUUAAUUACAGGACAUGGCAUCAUUUUGAUUCACAGUGGAAUAAAAGGCAUCUAUUUGUAUAUUUGGAAGUCUGAAUGAGGAUUUCCUGAUGAAGUCAUUUCUGUCUUACAACAGCUUCGCUUGUACCAGUAGAGUUAAAACUGGGUCACCAUUUUUAUGCGAGCGUAUGGAUACACAUACAUCCACACUCGAACCCCAAACACACACACACACACACACACACACUUCAUUUCAGAGUCUAAUUAAAACUCUAUUAUACAUAAUUUUCUUCCAGAUCAAUGGUGGUGUUGGAUCAAAAUUGUAGCUCACAAGGAAAAUCCUGUAAAGGAACCAUAUUUUUCUGUGUUGCCUGCCAAAAUGAGAACAUCAUUUGUUAAAUAAUGUGGGACACAGGUGCCCCGGAUGUACUAUUUAAUGGAGAAAGAAAAAGAGAGAAACAAUGGCUGCCAGUAUCCGGGAAAAAUGCGACUAGCUUCUUAAGCUUCUUCACCCAGAAAUUGUUACAAAUAGAAGGGAAUCUGACUUUGAGCUAUGAGUUGUUGCUUCCCCAUGACUGAAUUCCCCAAGAACUGAGUUAUUACUGACCUGUGAUUUGCUCAUCAUAAGGUCUCACUGUUAAUUACUGCUCUCUGCUCCGCAGAAACUUUGAAUUCCACCAAAGGGUGUGCCGAAGGCUUAGAUGUUGAGAAGCGUGAAUUCAUCCUGCACAACAAAUAUCAUAGAGAUGGGACUGGAGCGGGGGACAAGAAGGGGGAGAAUGAACAAGAUGCAUGUUGCAAAACCCCAAGGGGUGCUAUUUGUAUGGUAGCCUGAGUGAACAGCAAUUUCCCUGAGGGGUGGUUGCAGCAGAUACUGUGGGUACCAUCUCUACAUCUCUUACUCCUUACUCGUUCCUGCCUUACUCCUUCAGGGCAGAGCAGCCCAACUUACUCUUUGCCUAAGGACAGUCUCUGGUAUCUAAGUCUAGGUUAGCCACUCAUGGCAGGCCAGAUGAAUGAUUGCUAGGAGUCUUGCAUAUACACCCGGUUUCCUUGCCACUUGGAUAGGAUAAAGGUGCUUCACCCCAUUUUCCAGCAGUCUCCAGCAAGUCUAGGUUCCACUUGCUCACAGCAGUAGCUGAUUUUGUGAAACAUCCUUUCUGGGCUGCCUUCCUUUCUCUCUCUCCCUUUCCCUCUCCCAUCUCUGAUUUUCUUCUACUUCCCCCAAUAUAUUAAUAUUAUCUCAGGGAUGGCUUUUGGGAACCCCAAUCAAAGAAAGGAGCAAACUCAAUUAAGACCCUCUGUUUUAGGUAACUUUGGGAACCUGGUGGAGCAUCCUGACAUUACAUCCUGAACCAGAGUAUGUCUCAAGAUAUUUUUGGAUCCUGCUUUUGUGGAGACAGAAUCCACAACACAGCAGAGAGUUCCUCACUCCAAGAGGUACAUUCUUCUUACUGUCUGGUUCACUCCCUAGACACAUGCCAGCUUGACCAUCAUACAGAGCAGCCCCCAGGAUGAAGGCAAACUUCUAUCUGGAGUCUGAUCUUUCCAAGAUAGGGCUGAAUCAACUUAGCUCUUUUUUCUUGUGGCUCAUUGCUGCUUUCCAGAUUGAGAAUAGCCUCAGAUUUCUUUCUGGCUUCCAUAUACCAUGCAUCCUAUUGCUUUGCUUAUACUCUUACCCCCCAAUGUCAAAAUAGUCCUGAAGUGUAUACCAGAUCAUGUCACACAUAUGCAGAACUGAUCAUGUCAGUUCAACCUUGGCUCCAAGAAUAAAGCUGUAAGUCCUAUAACCACAAGGCCUUAGGGUGACUUGAUUCCUGAAGGCUACUCCAAUAUCAUUUCUUCUCAUUUUCCUCAUCACACCUUGCCUUUCUUUGAACGUGGUGACAUAUUCCUGCUGCAGAAUUUUGCAUUGGCUGUUUCCUCUAUCUGGUGCACUCUUUUUAUUGAAGGUGCACUCUUACCUAACCUAACUCAUGCUUUUGUGCAAAUGUCACCAUCUCAGACAGGCCUUUGCUAACCAUCCCAGCACCCCUUUAAUUUAUUAUUGCUUACUUUAAUUGUUUCUCUUUAUAGCUGUCAGCACCAACUGACAUUAUAUGUACUCGUUUGGCUGGUUUUUGUUAGUCUUUCCAUGACAAUGUAAGCGCCACUGGCUCAUCACUAACAUCAUGUGCCUGGCACACAGAAAGUACUCAAUUAAUAUUUAUAUGGUUGCUGAAUUAAUAUAUGGUGUUACCUUUAAAGAGAAGCGAAGUAAUCUGUAAAUGCUUUUACUAAAAUAAUCAUUUACCUGCAGACUAGGUAUUUUAAAAUAUAGUCUAUUUCCUGUUAUAGAUUGAUUUAUUUUUAAAGUAUUGUCUCCUUACUCUUUAAAGAUACAUUUUCCCUGUUUUCCAAAUUAGUUAUUUUUUCUUUUUGAUUAUUCAUUCCCAAGUUAGGAGAAUGUCUAAAACUUGAGAUGUACUGACUGACAAAUUAACUAACAAAGAACAGAAAUAUAUACCUCAAAUUGCACUGCUAUCAUCUAUGAUCAUUUAUUUAUUCAGCAGAUAUUAAUUGAGCGUUUACUAUAUCUCAGACACCGCUGUACAUAUUCAGAGAAUACAACAGCCAAAGAUUUCUCACCUCAAAGAACUUAUACAGAAAAGACACGCAAUAAAAUGUAAACAUGAUAAAUGAAUUAUUUUAUUUUAUUUUAUUUUAUUUUUGAGACAGAGUUUUGCACUUGUUGCCCAGGCUGGAGUGCAAUGGCGUGAUCUCGGCUCACCGCAACCUCUGCCUCCCGGGUUCAAGCGAUUCUCCUGCCUCAGCCUCCCAAGUAGCUGGGAUCAUAGGCAUGCGCCACUAUGCCCAGUUAAUUUUUUGUAUUUUUAGUAGAGAUGGGGUUUCACCAUGUUGGCCAGGUUGGUCUGAAACACCCGACCUCAGGUCAUCAGCCCACCUCGGCCUCCCAAAGUGCUGGGAUUACAGGCGGGAGCCACUGCACCUGACUGAUAAAUGAAUUAUUUAAUGUGUUUGAAGGAUACACUAGGGUGGUCAGGGGAGGCUUCACUAAGUUGACUUCUGGGCAGAGCUUGAAUUAGUGAGUGUGAAUGUGAAGCCAUGUGCAUACAUGUGGGAGGAGCACUCUAGACAAAGAGCAAGGCCAAGGCAGAGGUUCUGAGGUGGGAGCAUGCCAAGCUUGUUAUAGAGGGCAAGCUGCAGGCUGCUGAGCAAGGAGGAAGAGGGGUAGGAGAUGAAACCAAAGAAGAAUCAGGAAAGCAGGCCAUGUAGGCCCCUGGAAGCAUUAAAAGGACCUUGAUUUUCACAUAUGCCAAUAAUUGUUAAAAGGCAAUAAUAAUAGCUGUUGCCACCACAUUCGACUACAUAGUAUUCCCUGCUUGUUCCAUAUAAAGUUACUCCAUGUAAAUACAGACCCUGUGAUCACUCUUGUUGAUAAUGAUUUUAUUGUAUUAUUGUUUCUCUAUAAGGUGACUGCUGUUACAUUUUUCUUAAUUACACAGCAGUGAAACACUUCAUUGAUAAUAAAUACAAAGGAGAAAAAAUAAUUUAUAAAAUAAAAAUAGAGGUUUAAUAAAU